rnacentral:rRNA from 1 species
GACGAACGCUGGCGGCGUGCUUAACACAUGCAAGUCACGGGGGCCCGCAAGGGCAACCGGCGAACGGGUGCGUAACACGUGAACAACCUGCCCUCGUGUGGGGGAUAGCCGGGCUAACGCCCGGGUAAUACCGCAUACGGUCAUCGGGAGGAGUCUCCUGGUGAAGAAAGCUCCGGCGCACGGGGAGGGGUUCGCGGCCUAUCAGCUAGUUGGUGCGGUAACGGCGCACCAAGGCGACGACGGGUAGCNGGUCUGAGAGGAUGGCCAGCCACAUUGGGACUGAGAGACGGCCCAGACUCCUACGGGAGGCAGCAGUGGGGAAUCCUGCGCAAUGGCCGAAAGGCUGACGCAGCGACGCCGCGUGUGGGAGGACGCCUUUCGGGUGU